rnacentral:rRNA from 1 species
GACGUAGGGCGCGAGCGUUGUCCGGAUUUAUUGGGCGUAAAGAGCUCGUAGGCGGCUUGUUGCGUCGACUGUGAAACCCGCAGCUUAACUGCGGGCCUGCAGUUGAUACGGGCAGGCUAGAGUUCGGUAGGGGAGACUGGAAUUCCUGGUGUAGCGGUGAAAUGCGUAGAUAUCGGGAGGAACACCAGUGGCGAAGGCGGUUGCCUGGGGCUUUGCUGACGCUGAUGGCGCGAAAGCGUGGGGAGCGAGUCCGG